CGUUAGGGGUGCUGUAAGUAGAAAGAUAUUCAGAUAUUUAGUUGUUCAGAUAUUCAGAAAUCUGAAAGUCUCAAAAUCUUUCCGAGUUACGGCUGAGAUUAAACCCUUGACCUGAUCCGGAUAAUACCGGCGGAGGAAAAUGAUUAAGA
rnacentral:ncRNA from 1 species